UGCGUAGGCGGAUUUAUAAGUCAGUGGUGAAAUCUUUCGGCUCAACCGAGAAACUGCCAUUGAUACUGUUAAUCUUGAGUUCGGUUGAGGUAGGCGGAAUGUGUAAUGUAGCGGUGAAAUGCUUAGAUAUUACACAGAACACCAAUUGCGUAGGCAGCUUACUAGACCGACACUGACGCUGAGGCACGAAAGCGUGGGGAGCGAACAGGAUUAGAUACCCUGGUAGUCC
rnacentral:rRNA from 1 species